rnacentral:rRNA from 1 species
UACGGAGGGUGCAAGCGUUGUCCGGAUUUAUUGGGUUUAAAGGGCGCGCAGGCGGCCACGCACGUCCGUUGUGAAAUCGCUCGGCUCAACUGGGCGGGGUCAGCGGAUACGGCGCGGCUGGAGCAAGCUAGGGGGCAAUGGAAUUCCCGGUGUAGUGGUGGAAUGCGUAGAUAUCGGGAGGAACACCAGUGGCGAAGGCGGUUGCCUGGAGCUUUGCUGACGCUGAUGCGCGAAAGCGUGGGGAGCGAUCCGG